rnacentral:misc_RNA from 1 species
GAUGAAGAACGCAGCGAAAUGCGAUAAGUAAUGUGAAUUGCAGAAUUCAGUGAAUCAUCGAAUCUUUGAACGCACAUUGCGCCCCUUGGUAUUCCGAGGGGCAUGCCUGUUCGAGCGUCAUUACACCACUCAAGCUAUGCUUGGUAUUGGGCGUCGUCCUUAGUUGGGCGCGCCUUAAAGACCUCGGCGAGGCCACUCCGGCUUUAGGCGUAGUAGAAUUUAUUCGAACGUCUGUCAAAGGAGAGGAACUCUGCCGACUGAAACCUUUAUUUUUCUAGGUUGACCUCGGAUCAGGUAGGGAUACCCGCUGACCUUAAGCAUCUCAAUAAGCGGAGGA